GGCUCAUUAGCUCAGUUGGUUAGAGCGUCGUGCUAAUAACGCGAAGGUCGCGGGUUCGUAUCCCCCCAUGAGCCA